UACAGAGGGGGCAAGCGUUGUUCGGAAUUACUGGGCGUAAAGGGCGCGUAGGCGGCCAGCACAAGUCAGUUGUGAAAUCUCCGGGCUUAACUCGGAAAGGUCAACUGAUACUGUGCGGCUAGAGUGCAGAAGGGGCAACUGGAAUUCUCGGUGUAGCGGUGAAAUGCGUAGAUAUCGAGAGGAACACCUGCGGCGAAGGCGGGUUGCUGGGCUGACACUGACGCUGAUGCGCGAAAGCCAGGGGAGCGAACGGG
rnacentral:rRNA from 1 species